GGGCUAAGUGUGUGGACUGUCUGGUAGGUAAAUCCGCUGGGCAUGAAGGUUGAGGCAUGAUGGGGAGCCCACGGUUGUGGGUGAGUGAGUGAUCCUGUACUGUCGAGAAAAGCUUCGUGAGCGAGGUGGCGGGUCCGCCCGUACCCUAAACCGACACUGGUGGAUAGGUAGAGUAUACCGAGGCGAUCGAGUGAAUCGUGGUGAAGGAACUCGGCAAAAUGCCCCCGUAACUUUGGGAUAAGGGGGACCUGAGCUGUCGUGCACCCGUGCGGUGUGGUGGCAGUGAGGGGCGCAGAGUCCAGGGGGAAACGACUGUUUACCAAAAACACAGGUCCGUGCGAAGUCGUAA
rnacentral:rRNA from 1 species